rnacentral:rRNA from 1 species
UGGGGAAUCUUGCACAAUGGGGGAAACCCUGAUGCAGCGACGCCGCGUGAGUGAUGAAGCCCUUCGGGGUGUAAAGCUCUUUCGACCCGGAAGAUUAUGACGGUACGGGGAGAAGAAGCUGCGGCUAACUACGUGCCAGCAGCCGCGGUAAUACGUAGGCAGCGAGCGUUGUUCGGAGUUACUGGGCGUAAAGCGUGCGUAGGCGGUGUCUUAAGUUUGUUGUGAAAUCUCCCGGCUUAACCGGGAGGGUGCGGCGAAUACUGAGAUGCUGGAGUGCGGGAGAGGUAAGCGGAAUUCCUGGUGUAGCGGUGAAAUGCGUAGAUAUCAGGAGGAACACCUGCGGUGUAGACGGCUUACUGGACCGUAACUGACGCUGAGGCACGAAAGCGUGGGUAGCAAACAG